GAACUAUUCGGAACGAAAAAGUGUCCCAGAAAUCGACGAAGAAUGAACUAUUUUUCUCGUUACCUGGAAACUUUAGAAUUUUUUUUAAUUAACAUUUUCUUAACUUUCAGUUAUUUCUCGAAAACUCCAAAAUCUCCGGGAAUUUUUAUUCGAGAAAAAAAGAUCGAUAACCCAGAAAUCGUAAUUAGGUGGAUACGGAUACCUUUGGUAGAUACAUUCUGUUCUCGUGGCAACUUAUUCUCGGCGGUUUAAUAUGAAUUUAUCGAUGGAUGCCGCCGGUCGGUGGUAUUAUCUAUUUAAAAUGUUAAAUACCGCUACUAACCUCAAUGGUGUAAGUUUAUAAAGGAAAGUUCACUGCUGCAAAUUUAUAUUCAAUUUCAAGACUCGAUUGCUGAAACAUAUACAGGGUGACAUGGCACGAUUUUAAAUCUUAAAAAUAGUUAUUUCUGUAACAAGAGAACUUUAGCGGACGAAUCGGAUAAAGGAGAAGGUGACGAAGGAUCUGAGUGCUUACUGAAAUGAGUCCGCUAAAUUAUUUUGCGGGUAAUUUUUUACUUUAACUACUUCUGGAUUUUCAAGCUGAAACUUACGCCAAACGAUUCCUCUGAGUGCCCUGAUGACCGUACACUAUGAAUUUUCUUGUGCAAAUUGAAAAUAACAUUACAAAAAUAAUUUUUAUUUUCACUCAUUUCACUUGAAUCGCCAUUUUUGUUGAUUUUAAGGGAUACAACGUUCGCCACCAGGGUGUGCAUGCGUUGCGUGUGCUUAUUUCUGAUUGGUUGUUAUUGUUUAGCUUCAACAGGUAAGAAUCGCACCUGCGUGUUUGUUAUGAUUAUAACACCUUCGGGUAUUCCCAGAAUGAAUUUAAAUGACGUAUUAUACCUUUUUCAUUAAAAAGUAGGUGUAUUUUUUCAUAUUUUGCAAUUUGAAUUUAUGUCUCUGUGCUCUGAUUGGCUGAUUGACGGAAGUGGGGAUGCAUUCCCGCAUUUCCCUUCAUGCAAUUUACCAACAACACCACUCCAUUACUAUUUUACUUACUAGUGGUGAACAAGGUAUUUUUUUGUGAGUGCUACGUUCUUGAGGUUAAUUUACCAAUCGUGGUGUGUAUUUCCUUUUAGUUAGCUGGUGCGCAGCCCCAGCCUCCGGCCACGAACUGUACGGCACCCUAGCUCCAUAUAAAACACUAUUCCACGUGUCGAGUUCCACGUUUUCGAGUUUAAUUGGUCGUGGGGCCAAAAAAGAACCAAAAUAAAAACUGAUGUGUCUGACGGCUAGAAGAAUUAUAAGACUCGAAAAGCUUUAACAAGGAAUUCGCUUGAUUUACCUCUUAUGGUACUCACUAACUGCUGCAUUCGCUCUUCAAGCUCAUCAAACAGCAAGUAUGUUAUUUAUACUAGGAGAUGUGGAACUGGGUAUGUGUUCUUAAUGAUAAACUGAAUUGUUUGUUUCAUCUUUUAUUAGACAGUCUGGCUGCAGAUGCAAACAAAAUCUUUUGUUCCCUCGAGCUUAGUCAAAGAGACCGAAGCCCAUGUCGUCAUCCUCGCUUUCGGAUUCCUCCUUCUUUUCCUCCUUAGCGGCAGCAGCAGGCGCGGCCGCAGCUGGGGCAGCUGAAGUUGGAGCAGCAGCAGCUGCGAACUUGCUUGGAUCCUAGACAAAAUUUCAUCAGUUUGAAUCACACAAACCAAGUCAUUAAUCAUACCUUGAUGUACUCCUUGAUAGUUGUAGCUUCCUUGAACUCAACUUCAGUAACAGCAGCAAUAGCCAAAAGAUUCUUGAAUCCAUUGGCAAUACUGUGCGGAGCGGAAGCAAUAGUUGGAUACCCAACAGCCAAGCAAACAGCUGCCACGUUGGCAACGCCCGCCAAAAACUUCUCCCUCAAAUCCUCCGGCUUGAUGUCCAAAAUUGCAGGCGCGAAAAUAGUGCCAGAAUCGUACACUUGCUCAACAACCAAACCGUACGAAAACGGCGAAAUGUUGAGCAUGUUCAGCAAAGUUGCUUCAGAGGCUCCGACUUUAUCCCCAGGCUUCAAAAUGUGCACAUCGUUGAUGAUUUCAAUAGUACCCUUUGAGAUUUUCGUAGGGAUUGAAAGGGCUUGGAAGAAGGAGGUCUUCUCGGGGCCCAAACCAGUGUUUUGGGCCGGGAUCACGACCGGCAAUGGUGCGAUAGCGCCAGCACGCGCCGGUGCACGAACUUUGUUCUCGAGAAGUUUGUCUCGGACUUCCACCAAAUCUGCACGAGUGAAUACAAAACCCACAUUUCCUUUAAUGCGAGGAAGGAGCUUCUCAAGGGCUGGGUUGCGUUCGCAAUGGCCCUUGAUGGCUUUACGCAUCAUGGUGUUCUUGCCCAUGAGGACGACAGCGGUGCCUCGGAGGGAAAUGCGGAUUUGUUGCAUCUGCUUUGAGCCGACAUUGUCAGCGCCCACGAUGAAACAUUUUGGGUAGUCUUCAAGGAGUUG